UUAAGUUCAGCGGGUAUCCCUACCUGAUCCGAGGUCAACCAUAGAAAAUUGGGGGUUGAUGGCAAGCAUCCACCUGGACCCUGUAGCGAGAAGAGUUACUACGCUUAGAGCCAGAUGGCGCCGCCACUGAUUUUAAGGGCUGCCGGUACAGCAGGCCCCAACACCAAGCAGAGCUUGAGGGGUUAUAAUGACGCUCGAAC
rnacentral:misc_RNA from 1 species